rnacentral:rRNA from 1 species
GCCGCGUGAGUGAUGAAGGCUUUAGGGUCGUAAAACUCUGUUGUUGGAGAAGAACGUGUGUGAGAGUAACUGCUCAUGCAGUGACGGUAUCCAACCAGAAAGCCACGGCUAACUACGUGCCAGCAGCCGCGGUAAUACGUAGGUGGCAAGCGUUAUCCGGAUUUAUUGGGCGUAAAGCGAGCGCAGGCGGUUUUUUAAGUCUAAUGUGAAAGCCUUCGGCUUAACCGAAGAAGUGCAUUGGAAACUGGGAAACUUGAGUGCAGAAGAGGACAGUGGAACUCCAUGUGUAGCGGUGAAAUGCGUAGAUAUAUGGAAGAACACCAGUGGCGAAGGCGGCUGUCUGGUCUGUAACUGACGCUGAGGCUCGAAAGCAUGGGUAGCGAACAGGAUUA